CCUACGGGUGGCAGCAGUGGGGAAUAUUGGGCAAUGGAGGCAACUCUGACGCAGCAACGCCGCGUGAGUGAUGAAGUUCUUCGGAUUGUAAAGCUCUAUUCUAAGGGAAGAAAAAGGUGGCAGUUCCUUAAGAAUACGCCUCGGCUAACUACGUGCCAGCAGCCGCGGUAAUACGUAGGAGGCAAGCGUUAUCCGGAAUGACUGGGCGUAAAGGGGUCGUAGGUGGUUUGACAAGUCGGUAGCGUAACGCCGGGGCUUAACCUCGGAACUGCUUCGAAAACUGUUGUACUAGAGUGCAGGAGGGGUAAGUGGAAUUCCUAGUGUAGCGGUGGAAUGCGUAGAUAUUAGGAGGAACACCAGUGGCGAAGGCGAGUUGCUGGACUGUAACUGACAUUGAGGCACGAAAGCGUGGGGAGCAAACAGGAUUAGAUACCCUUGUAGUC
rnacentral:rRNA from 1 species